GGGUAAUGACCCAAACCUAUAUGGCCCCUGGAUUGGACUGCGGCCGAUCAGGCUGUUGGUGAGGUAAUGGCCCACCAAACCUGUAACCGGUACGGGCUCUGAGAGGAGGAGCCCGGAGAUGGGCACUGAGACAAGGGCCCAGGCCCUAUGGGGCGCAGCAGGCGCGAAACCUCUGCAAUAGGCGAAAGCUUGACAGGGUUACUCUGAGUGAUUUCCGUUAAGGAGAUCUUUUGGCACCUCUAAAAAUGGUGCAGAAUAAGGGGUGGGCAAGUCUGGUGUCAGCCGCCGCGGUAAUACCAGCACCCCGAGUGGUCGGGACGUUUAUUGGGCCUAAAGCAUCCGUAGCCGGUUCCACAAGUCUUCCGUUAAAUCCACCUGCUUAACAGAUGGGCUGCGGAAGAUACUAUGGAGCUAGGAGGCGGGAGAGGCAAGCGGUACUCGAUAGGUAGGGGUAAAAUCCGUUGAUCCAUUGAAGACCACCAGUGGCGAAGGCGGCUUGCCAGAACGCGCUCGACGGUGAGGGAUGAAAGCUGGGGGAGCAAACCGGAUUAGAUACCCGGGUAGUCCCAGCUGUAAACGAUGCAGACUCGGUGAUGAGUUGGCUUUAUGCCAACUCAGUGCCGCAGGGAAGCCGUUAAGUUUGCCGCCUGGGGAGUACGGUCGCAAGACUGAAACUUAAAGGAAUUGGCGGGGGAGCACCACAAGGGGUGAAGCCUGCGGUUCAAUUGGAGUCAACGCCGGAAAUCUUACCGGGGGCGACAGCAGAAUGAAGGUCAAGCUGAAGACUUUACCAGACAAGCUGAGAGGAGGUGCAUGGCCGUCGCCAGCUCGUGCCGUGAGGUGUCCUGUUAAGUCAGGUAACGAGCGAGACCCCUGCUUCUAGUUGCUACCAUUAUUCUCAGGAGUAGUGGAGCUAAUUAGAGGGACUGCCGUCGCUGAGACGGAGGAAGGAGGGGGCUACGGCAGGUCAGUAUGCCCCGAAACCCUCGGUACACACGCUGUCUCCAACGGUGAGGACAAUGAGUUUCGAUUCCGAAAGGAGGAGGCAAUCUCUAAACCUUACCACAGUUAUGAU
rnacentral:rRNA from 1 species